AGUAAAUUAUGAGUAGAUGAAUAAUUUUCUAACGUUAAUUACUGUAGAGUAACUCCAGGAGAGUCGGCAAAUACCGAGUAGCAUCAUUGUGCCAUCCUUUUCCCCCAUCAGCUGCCGGAUUUGCACUCUAGCAAAGGCAAUUUCCACAUACGCGCAGCAAGUGCCGUACCAGCCGGUGCCACAAAUAUGCGGGAGGAGAGAGAGGAGUGGUAAUACUAUUUACUGAGUAUUCAUGUAGGGUUGUAGGGGGAAGAAAAGUAACGAAAGAUAGAAAAUAAGAUAGCUAUUGAAGAUAGAAAAAAUAAGAGAUAUUGUAAUAGUGUUAGAGAAUACUGUUACAGAGGAUGAAAAUAAUAGUGUUAGAGGAUACUGUAAUAGUGUUAUAGAGGAUGAAAUUUUAAAAUACCUGUUAGAGAUGAUCUUAACUAAUUUACAUGAAAUGUGGUUAGGACAUAUGCGUGAUAUAUAUCGUUUAUUUUUGGACAAAUGUAUGGUAAAAACAGACGACUACACUCGGCAGAAUAUUGCACCAACAAAUUUUUGUCUGAUCAGUACAUUUCAUUUUGAAGAAAUUUACGAUGGUUAAAAAUUAAUAUGGGCUAUUUAUUUUUAAGUUCAACGGUCUAGAUUAAACAUGAUACUACUUAUUUAUAGAUAGUAUAAAUGAGUAGUACGAUAGUAUUAGAGUUAUUUUAGGGAGAAAAAUACAUGGUAUAAAAAUAAUUACCUGCACUUGUAUGUCUUUAAAUAGAGUAAUAUUUCAUUAUCGUUCUAACAUUCUAAUUUGCAUCCGGCCGGAGAGUUCAUUUGCUAUCCAUCGACUAGGAUUCACGAUCCGGCAUUUGCGGUGAGGCCGGUGGUGACACGUGCGGUGGGGCGGAGGGAGGCGGUCGUGACGCCCUUACCUCGGAGUUGUUUCCUCCGAUCCCGGGUGGCGCCCUAACGCACUGCGGGGGCAAGGCGCGUGGCAAGCGAUGGGGCCGAGGCGUGCGGCAGGGUGAAAGGGGAGCAGCACCAAGCGUGGGGCGGGGCGGAGGCGCGUGGCGCAUGGCGGUGCAUAGGACGGCUACGGCAUGCAGGGCGUCGCUGCGGCACCAAGCGCAGGGGGGUGGAGGAGCACGGCGCCGCGCAGCGAGCUGCGGCGUCAUGCUGCACCGUAGGUGCAGUGCCAUGCGCGGUGGGGCGGAGGGGAGCGACGUGCGUGGUGUAACGAGCGGCGGCGGCGGCAUGCUGGGUGCCCGAGCACCCGCCACCAUGGCCUCAUCUUCGGCAAGAGGAAGACCCGAGCCGAGGACGCUUCUGAGUUUGCUGCAUGCAAGGCAUUUCAAUGCAAGAUGGUGAAAAACUUGAAAACCAGCUACAUGACAUGGCUUUGAUGGUUGAGAAGCUAGAGGGAAGCCGCCAGAAGCUGCUAAUGGAGGUGCUUGAUGUCCUCUUACCUUUUCUUUUGAAUUAAGUCUCCUAAGUGGUGGUUGAGUUUAUAAUUGUAUUGGAUAGAUUGAUUAUGAAUCAUCAGAAAUAGAAAAGCUGUUUGAGGAGAACUCAGACUUGUCUACAUCUUACCAAGAAGCCAUGACCGUUACAAUACAAUGGGAAAACCAGGUGUGUUGCCGGCGGUCUUGGUCAUUUCCUGCUGCACGAAACUUUGCAGAAGAUACUUGCAUGUUAGAGAUUGUUUGAAGCAAAAUGAAGAGCUCCGUUCCCACCAACUGAUUCCGUGCUCUUGUACCUAAUGGAGUCUGUCCUGAUGUUCCGAUCAAGCACACCUAAUUGUUCUUUUGUACCAGCGCAAGCAUGUGAGAUCCACCACCUAAUACAAUUGCUUGUCGGUCACAUUAUGGAAAAUACCGUAGGUUGUUAUCACAUGACAGCAGUAGUUGUUGUGUCUCAGGGUAGAAUUUUACAGUGCCAGCUAUGGGUUCUUUUUUGAACGUGGGAUGGAUUUCGUUUGCUCUGACAUCCGGGGGAACAUGUUUGCCUCUCCAGUUCAUCAUGCUGAUAAUUCAGCAAUGUUGUAGUUUGCACUGAUGUACUCUGUGAGAAUUCAAAAAAGGAGGUUCAAUCGCAAACAUUUGCAAUGACAUCACGUAGUUGAAAUUCUGCGGUCAAACUGUCAAGGAUUUCGUAUCUUUGAGUUUGGUAGCUUCAGUUCAAAGACAUUG